GACGAACGCUGGCGGCGUGCUUAACACAUGCAAGUCGAACGGAAAGGCCCUGCUUUUGUGGGGUGCUCGAGUGGCGAACGGGUGAGUAACACGUGAGUAACCUGCCCUUGACUUUGGGAUAACUUCAGGAAACUGGGGCUAAUACCGGAUAGGAGCUCCUGCUGCAUGGUGGGGGUUGGAAAGUUUCGGCGGUUGGGGAUGGACUCGCGGCUUAUCAGCUUGUUGGUGGGGUAGUGGCUUACCAAGGCUUUGACGGGUAGCCGGCCUGAGAGGGUGACCGGCCACAUUGGGACUGAGAUACGGCCCAGACUCCUACGGGAGGCAGCAGUGGGGAAUAUUGCACAAUGGGCGGAAGCUUGAUGCAGCAACGCCGCGUGCGGGAUGACGGCCUUCGGGUUGUAAACCGCUAUCGCCUGUGACGAAGCGUGAGUGACGGUAAUGGGUAAAGAAGCACCGGCUAACUACGUG
rnacentral:rRNA from 1 species